CCCUCCAACCCAGCAGCCCAUUGGCCAGCGGAGGAAGGAAGCGAGGGUCAAGGGGCAGGAGGUCAGUGGUGAAGAUGUAGGGGUCAACUGGGGUCUCAUUGGUCAUCGUGGGGAGAGCGUGUCCUCUUCCACUUAGGAUGAUAAAAGGUUAAAUCAAUGGUACCUACAACAGAACAGUACAACACACACAGAAUGCCUAUGUCACACACAGAAUGCCUAUGUCACACACAGAAUGCCUAUGUCACACACAGAAUGCCUAUGUCACACACAGAAUGCCUAUGUCACACACAGAAUGCCUAUCACACACAGAAUGCCUGUCACACACAGAAUGCCUGUCACACACACACACACACCUAUGUCACAGAAUGCCUAUGUCACACACACACAGAAUGCCUAUGUCACACACACACACACACACACACACACACACACACACUGCCUAGGUCAGUGGCAGAUCCACAAGAUCCAGCCACAAACGUCUACUUUAACCCCAGAUCCUCCUACAACAGCCCAAUGCUCUGCUGUCCUACCCAGACUGACAGGUAGUACAACAGCCCAAUGCUCUGCUGUCCUACCCAGACUGACAGGGAGUACAACAGCCCAAUGCUCUGCUGUCCUACCCAGACUGACAGGUAGUACAAACAGCCCAAUGCUCUGCUGUCCUACCCAGACUGACAAGUAGUACAAACAGCCCAAUGCUCUGCUGUCCUACCCAGACUGACAGGUAGUACAAACAGCAGUAGGCCUACCUUCUAUUUUGCAUUUUAACCCGGUUGUUUAGUUUCUCAUUUAUUUGUAUGUGAGCUUCUGUAUGCUAGAAUUCCACUUUCAUCUGUAAAAUGUGUUUCCUACUAUUAAGAUAAAGGUUAAAAUAUAUAUUUUAUAUAUUUGUUUGAUAUAUUUGAUAUAUCAUAUAUUAAUUUAUAUUUCAG